CUCAGGAUACAAAAUCAAUGUGCAAAAAUCACAAGUAUUCUUAUACACCAAUAACACAAACAGAGAGCCAAAUCAUGAGUCAAAUCCCAUUCACAGUUGCUUCAAAGAGAAUAAAAUACCUAAGAAUCCAACUUACAAAGGAUGUGAAGGACGUCUUCAAGGAGAACUACAAACCACUGCUCAAUGAAGUAAAAGAGGACACAAACAAAUGGAAGAACAUUCCAUGCUCAUGGAUAGGAAGAAUCAAUAUCAUGAUAAUGGCCAUACUGCGCGAGAAAAUCUUGAAAGCAAUAAUACAAAUACAGGCUGAUUUCUCAUAGGAAAUACUGGAGGCUAGAAACAAUAAAAUGGUAUUUUUAAAGUGUGGAAACAAUUUUAAUUCAGAAUUGUGUAUCCAAUAAAAAUAUCCUUUAAAAUUUAGAUAAAAUGUAGACAUUUUAAGAUGCAGGCAAGCUCGGAGAUUUUUUGCAAGCCUAUCUGUACAGCAGGAAAUACUAAAGAAGUUUCUUUGGUCAAAAAAGUAUAUUUGCCAGAAGGAAAUUAAUAUCUACCACAAUUGAAUACAGAGAAUUAAAAAUGUUAAAUUCUGGUUAAAAUGAGAAAUAUGUUUUCCUUUUCUAAUUUCCUCAGAAGAAAAGUGACUGAUUAAAAUAAAAUUAUGGUGUCAUAAGGUAAUGUUUAUAAGGUAUGUAAAAUAAAGGAAAAUAAAUUGAGGUGUGGUGGAAAUGUUUUAUAUCUUAAUUUUGGUGGUAGUUACAUGCCUGUUUAUAUUUGUCAAAACACACCUAUCUGUACAAUUACAGUGCAUAAUUUACCUACAAUAAAAUGCAUAAAUUUAAGUAUACCUGUGUUUACUUUUAGGCAAAGAGGAUUUUUUUUUUUGGCUCAGAUAGCUAGAAGGCACAGACAGUAUUCUCAGACAUGACUAGAUCCAGAAGGAUGAUGUCCUUAGGACCUGGUCACUGCCUCUGUCUUGUGAGCUGAAUUCAUUUUUUAAAAAGGAUAAACUUUAUUUUUUAGAGCAGUUUUAGGUUUAUAGCAAAAUUGAGUGGAAGGUACAGUGAUUUUCCAUAUACCACCUGCCCCCACCCAUAUACCACCUGCCCCCAGACAUAGCUUCCCCUAUUAUCAGCAUCCCCUACCAGAUUGAUACAGUUGUAAAAACUGAUGAGUGUCCAUGACAUUAAUAUCACCGAAGUCCAUAGUUUACAUUAGGGUUCACUUUUGAUGUUGUACGUUCUGUGGAAUUCAACACAUUUAUGACGUGUAUCCAACAUUAUAGUGUCAUACAGAGUAGUAUCACUGCCCUAAAAACCUUUUGUGCUUUGCGUAUUCAUCCCUUCCUCCUUCCUACUUUUCUAAUAUUUUAUGUUAAAGUAGUAUCAGUUAUGCACAGUGAUUCCUAAGGGACUAUGCACAAGGAUGUUUAUUGCAGUCAUAAAAGUAACACAACAAUACAAGCAAUCUCACUUUUUAACCACCAGUGAAUGUUUAUAGUGGAUCCUACAAUAAUAAAAAGUCUAAAACUCAUGCAUAAGAAAUACUUAUGUUUUAAUGUUAAGAAGUAAAAACAUUUAUAUGGUACAAAUGUAUGCCUGUUGAAUAUAUGCAAAGAAAAAAUAUCAGAAGGUGUAUACCAGGAUUUUAACAUAAUUUUCUCUGUGUUAUGUGACUACUUCCUACCCUUUUCUUUAUUGCAUAUUUUACAAAGAGUGUACAUUUCUGUCAACUUCAAAAAUUGUUUUCAUAUUAAGAUAAGAAGAAUGUAAUCAGAUAUAAAUAUUAAAUGAUGGUUUGAAAUUAUCA
rnacentral:lncRNA from 10 species